AUACACGAGUGAGAAGCAGCCCAGACCCUGUGAUAGAUGGAGAAAAAGUGAUAUUAAGCUGUUCAACCAGUUGCCCUCUGGAUAGCAAACAUACUUACAUCUGGUAUAAGAAUGGACAACAGGUAACAGAUGGAUUGACAUUAUUAAACAAGCUGUACCUGGACUCAAUCAACAGUGAGGAGCUAUAUGAGUAUUCCUGUACUGUAAGAGAUGCAAUAGACAAAACAAAUGAAGCAGUGGACAGCUCAGUGUUUCUCUCUCUGUUGGUGUUUCUGCCUCAGUUUCUCAUCAUUGAAGCUCUGUAUGUGCAUGAAUAAAUUGAAAUCAUCUAAAAACAAGAUGACAAAGAAAUAGAGAUGUUGCAGGUCUGUGAGUAGAUCAGCUGUCUGUCCAUCAGAACUACUGGAGUGAUGUCACAACUCUCUUUAUGACAUCAUCACCUAGCAACAGUCUCUCAGCAGUGACAUCAGUGAUGCAGUGAUGUCAUAUACAGUGAUAUAUUAAUGACAGCUCAGUGUAAAUAAUCUAAUGUUCAAAUAGAUGAAUUAUUCAUUGAAGUAUUGAGUUUAUCAUUCAACAGUCUUGUGUCAGUGUCAGAUCAACUGUAACAUCACAAUGUAUAAAUCCUGUAAAAACUUUGCUAUAGUGCAUCUUUAUGUAGAUGAUACUGUGAUCUACUUUCAUCUUCACUAUAAGUCAGGCUGUUAUUCAACUCAAUGCUGUUUUUAGUUAGGUUAGGAUUUUAUUACAGGGCUGUGCUUUAAUCUUGCAGUUAGGAAAUCAUUUGUUCAGUUUAUUUUAAAAUGUUUUGAACUUUGGGGACAUUAUUUACAUGCAUGUUGAUUUCACUGCAUUUCACAGUUUAGACACUGACUGUGUAUCAUAGCUCUUUAUGUUUUAUAAUUCAUUGUCAUUGUUGUAUAUUUUAUAAUACAGUCUUUGGUUUCAUUAACUUUGAGGAGACUGCAGCAUUGAUUUAUUUCUUUAAGCCGUAUUGAGUUAACUUCUUUUUUGGGUAACCUACUUUCACUUACAAAUAGUUGCUAUGAUUUUGUCUCUUCUAGAUGUCGACUCUUCAGUGUAUUUUGGUUUUAUUCAGGACUCAGUAGAAAAUGUUUUGUUUAUUCUGCACUCUGGUCAUGAAUUAAUCUUCAGAAUAUAACAACAGCUUGGUCAUUUUUUUUAUCAUGGGAAAGUUUAAAGCACUUAUAUGAUUUAUGCUUAAAAAUAAGUUUAUCUUGUUUUAGGGUGUUUUAUUGCUAUUCUCAAGCUGGAUUUUGUAUAAAUACAUUUGCAUGACAUUUCAGUAUUUACA